AUCGAGGCCAGGGAUCAAACUCGCAACCUCAUGGUUCCUAGUCAGACUCAUUUCUGCUGCGCCACAACGGGAACUCCUAUUUUUUGAACAAUAUAAUGUUAAUAUAUCUUGUGACUGUGAGUCUCUACAUUUUAACAUUGUCUUCUUUUUUAAAUUAAAAAAAAAUUUCUUUUCAGGGCCAUGCCCACGGCAUAUGAACGUUCCCAGGCUAAGGGUCAAAUUGGAGCUGCAGCUGCAGGCCUACACCACAGCCACACCAACACAGGAUCCAAGCCUCGUCAGUGACGACUGUGAACUACAUUACAGCUCACAGCAACACCAGGUCCUUAACCCACUGAGCAAAGCCAGGGAUCCAAUCCAAAUCCUCAUGGAUACUAGUUGGGUUCUUAACCCGCUGAGCCCCAGCAGGAACUCCUAACAUUAUCAUUUAAGUUAUUCAACUGAUCAAAACAUAAAUAUAUGACACAUUUUGAUAGACAGUUACACAUAAAAAAUAAAAUUAUAUAAUAAAUACAUCUUUUGAGCAGAUGCAUAGGGCUUUUCUGGGUUUGCUUUCAAUAAGUUUCCAUAUUCAUGGGUAGGAUGCUUGCAUGUGAAAAAGUUCAGCAUCAAUUCUUUUAUUUUUUUGUUUUGUUUAGUGUAAAUGAAGAAAACUGUUCACAUAACAAUUAGAUACCAAUGGAAGGAGGUUUGGUAUACCAAUGUUACUUGAUCAUUUGACUCCCUUCCAAAAUGUAUGCCAAAAAUGUUAGCAAUUUUGUUUUCAGUCAGUUAAAACCUGCCUAGGUUCUCAAACUGUAUUCAAUUUAGAGAACUAGAAAAUCAUUUGAUGUUUCUUGUCACCUGGUCUUUAUUCUCUUUGUGAGAGCAUCAACAAUAAUUCCAGCGGUCUCUCUGCUGGGCUCUCUGCAGAUUUUUAGACCCGCAAAACAAAGUGCUCUGGGGUGGGUGGUUUCCUUUUCACCAUCCUGGUGGGUGUGUGUGCACUUUGCUCUUGAAGAGUUAGGAGCAGGGGAGGUGGAAGGGGCUGUGACCUUGCUCCAGGCACCUUCUCUUGCUGGUCAGUUUUAGCCCAGGGAAACUGCACACUGAUUUCCUUUAAACUAUUUGGUGUGUUGUGCUCCUUGGGAGAGACAUCCAUACCCCUAAGGACCUAUGAACCCAAGUUUCAGGACAUUUCACCUGAAGAUACUUCCAUUUCCCACCUAAACAGAUGAAAAAAGUACCCUAUCCCCUUCCACCCAAUGGCUUCUAUGGGGUCUUCAGAACCAUAGAAGAUGGUGGGAAGAAAGAAGGCAGACAGGGCAAGGCUUUGUCACUCAGUGAGAGAAGGGAUGGCAGUAACAGGUUGGGAAGAAGGCUCAAGAAGGCUCAAAGGAUUGGGACAAUUUUGGGUAGAUUUGGAAACAUCUUGAAGGAAAUCAAACAAGAAGAAGAGAUUUACCUCUUGUAAAGUGUUGUAAAGUGGUGUUAUGAGUAAGGCAAGGGUCUUCUUUCCUUUAGCAUAUUUUAAUAGGAGGCAAUAAUGUGUCAGCCCUGUGCCAAGAGGGGGUCUGUAAGACACCUGUCCUUGCCUUCAGUGAGCUUAUAUAGCACACAGUAGUUGACCCAGAGAGGAGGGAGGAGAGGAGGAGAGUGGGAGGGGGAAGGAGAGAGAGCAGAGAGGGGAAGGAGGGGAUGGAGGAAGAGGAGAGAGAGGUGGGGGGGAGUUACUAGGAAAUUGUAACGCAGGGUGACCAUAAUGUGGGGUGACCAGCACAGGGGGUUGAGAGAGCAUCCAGGAGUGGCCCUCAUCCUGUCAAGGGGAGGAGUACCAGGGAAGAAGUCAAUCCAGAUGGAGCAAACCCCUGAGACCAAAUAUUCAAGUGUCUGUAAGGGUGGAGUGCAUUCUGGGAACAUCCUUAGAUCAGCACUGAAAGAUAAGAACAAACCAGAUGUAGCCAAAGCAAUUCUGAGAAAGAAAAAUGGAGCUAGAGGAAUAGGCUCCCUGACUACAGACUAUACAGCAAAGCUACAAUAAUCAAAACAGUAUGGUAUUUUGCACAAAAACAGAAAUAUAGAACAAUGGAACAGGAUAGAAAGCCCAGAAAUAAACCCAGCAACUAAUCUACAGCAACAGAGGCAAAAGUAUACAACGGAGAAAAGACAGUCUCUUUAAUAAGCGGUGCUGGGAAAAUUGGACAGCUACAUGUAGAAGAAAUUAGAACAUUCUCUCACACCAUACACAAAAAUAAACUCAAAACGGAUAAUAUACCUAAAUGUAAGACCAAAUACUAUAAAACUCUCAGAGGAAAACAGGCAGAGCACACUUUGACAUAAAUCACAGCAAUGUCUUUUUUUUUUUUUUUUUUUUUUUUUUUUUGCCAUUUCUAGGGCCACUUCCCGUGGCAUAUGGAGCAGUCCAAGAAAUGGCAAAAAGACCAAAAAAAAAACAAAAACAAAAACCAAGCCUUUGCACAGCAAAGGACACCAUAACUAAAACAAAAAGACAACCCAAAGAAUGGGAUAAAAUAUUUGCAAAUAGGAGUUCCCGUCGUGGCGCAGUGGUUAACGAAUCUGACUAGGAACCAUGAGGUUGAGGGUUUGGUCCCUGCCCUUGCUCAGUGGGUUAACGAUCCGGUGUUGCCGUGAGCUGUGGUGUAGGUUGCAGACGCGGCUCAGAUCCCGCGUUGCUGUGGCUCUGGCGUGGGCUGGUGGCUACAGCUCCGAUUCGACCCCUAGCCUGGGAACCUCCAUAUGCCGCGGGAGCAGUCCAAGAAAUGGCAAAAAGACCAAAAAAAAAAAAAAAAAAUUUGCAAAUGAAGCAACUGGCAAGGGAUUAAUCUCCAAAAUAUACAAAAAAUAAAUAAAUAAAUAAAAAAAACCCCAACCAACCCAAUCAAAAAAUGGGCAGAAGAUAUAAACAGACAUUUCUCCAAAAACAGACAGAUGGCCAAAAAGCACACAGUGGAGUUCAUUUUAUAUGUAUGCAUAUAUAAAUGAUUAAAACCAAUUAAAUUUAUAAACAAAUUCCUAAAUCUUCCAUGCAAAAGAAUCCCAAAUGAUUUGUACUUUACCAUCGAGGAAGCAUACACCGCUACUCCUUAAGCAUAGGCUGUGUAUGGUGACUUCCUUCCAAAGAGUACAGUCUGGAAAGGAGGGGAAGAGUAACUUCACAGUGGAAAAAUCUGACAAACCUCAGUCAGGGGAUCAAGCUCAACAUUAAUGGGAAUUCCCUG
rnacentral:lncRNA from 1 species